rnacentral:rRNA from 1 species
GGGGAAUAUUGCACAAUGGGCGCAAGCCUGAUGCAGCGACGCCGCGUGAGGGAUGACGGCCUUCGGGUUGUAAACCUCUUUCAGUAGGGAAGAAGCGAAAGUGACGGUACCUGCAGAAGAAGCGCCGGCUAACUACGUGCCAGCAGCCGCGGUAAUACGUAGGGCGCGAGCGUUAUCCGGAAUUAUUGGGCGUAAAGAGCUCGUAGGCGGUUUGUCGCGUCUGCCGUGAAAGUCCGGGGCUUAACCCCGGAUCUGCGGUGGGUACGGGCAGACUAGAGUGCAGUAGGGGAGACUGGAAUUCCUGGUGUAGCGGUGAAAUGCGCAGAUAUCAGGAGGAACACCGAUGGCGAAGGCAGGUCUCUGGGCUGUAACUGACGCUGAGGAGCGAAAGCAUGGGGAGCGAACAGGAUUAGAUACCCUGGUAGUCCAUGCCGUAAACGUUGGGCACUAGGUGUGGGGGACAUUCCACGUUUUCCGCGCCGUAGCUAACGCAUUAAGUGCCCCGCCUGGGGAGUACGGCCGCAAGGCUAAAACUCAAAGGAAUUGACGGGGGCCCGCACAAGCGGCGGAGCAUGCGGAUUAAUUCGAUGCAACGCGAA